UACGGGGGGGCAAGCGUUGUUCGGAAUUACUGGGCGUAAAGGCUCGUAGGUGGCCAACUAAGUCAGACGUGAAAUCCCUACGGCUUAACCGGGAACUGCGUCUGAUACUGGAUGGCUUGAGUUCGGAGAGGGAUGCGGAAUUCCAGGUGUAGCGGUGAAAUGCGUAGAGUAUCUGGAGGAACACCGGUGGCGAAGGCGGCCUGACUGGGCCAGUUGCUGGACGACUGAGCGCGACA
rnacentral:rRNA from 1 species